rnacentral:rRNA from 1 species
GACGAACGCUGGCGGCGUGCUUAACACAUGCAAGUCGAACGGAAAGGCCCUGCUUUUGUGGGGUGCUCGAGUGGCGAACGGGUGAGUAACACGUGAGUAACCUGCCCUUGACUUUGGGAUAACUUCAGGAAACUGGGGCUAAUACCGGAUAGGAGCUCCUGCUGCAUGGUGGGGGUUGGAAAGUUUCGGCGGUUGGGGAUGGACUCGCGGCUUAUCAGCUUGUUGGUGGGGUAGUGGCUUACCAAGGCUUUGACGGGUAGCCGGCCUGAGAGGGUGACCGGCCACAUUGGGACUGAGAUACGGCCCAGACUCCUACGGGAGGCAGCAGUGGGGAAUAUUACACAGUAGGCGGAAGCCUGAUGCGGCAACGCCGCGUGCGGGAUGACGGCCUUCGGGUUGUGAACCGCUUUCGCCUGUGACGAGGCGUGAGUGACGGUAAUGGGUAAAGAAGCACCGGCUAACUACGUG